rnacentral:tRNA from 1 species
CCUUCGAUAGCUCAGUUGGAAGAGCGUGGGACUGUAAAGGAAACACUGUGCGAUCCCAAGGUCACUGGUUCGACCCCGGUUCGAAGGA